rnacentral:rRNA from 1 species
GUCCACGCUGUAAACGAUGAAUGCUAGAUAUCGGGUUUAUUCUCGGUGUCAAAGUUAACAUGAUAAGCAUUCCGCCUGGGGAGUACGGUCGCAAGAUUAAAACUCAAAGGAAUUGACGGGGGCUCGCACAAGCGGUGGAAUAUGUGGUUUAAUUCGAAGCAACGCGAAGAACCUUACCAGCCCUUGACAUGGUGGUCGUAGAAUCCAGAGAUGGAUUCGUCAGUUCGGCUGGACCACACACAGGUGUUGCAUGGCUGUCGU